rnacentral:rRNA from 1 species
AUACGGAAGGUCCGGGCGUUAUCCGGAUUUAUUGGGUUUAAAGGGAGCGCAGGCGGAGAUGCAAGCGUGACGUCAAAUUUCGGGGCUCAACCCCGUCUCGCGUCGCGAACUGCGUCCCUUGGUUGCGGGAAGGGGAGGCGGAACUCGUGGUGUAGCGGUGAAAUGCAUAGAUAUCACGAAGAACUCCGAUCGCGAAGGCAGCCUUCCGGCCCGUCAACGACGCUCAUGCUCGAAGGUGCGGGUAUCAAACAGGAUUAGAUACCCUGGUAGUCCGCACAGUAAACGAUGGACACCCGCGGUUUGGCCUGUAUGGCUGAGCCGCCAAGCGAAAGCGUUAAGUGUCCCACCUGGGGAGUACGCCGGCAACGGUGAAACUCAAAGGAAUUGACGGGG